rnacentral:SRP_RNA from 1 species
CGGGAGAUCCGUUGCGGACGGGUACCUUGCCAACCCGGUCAGGUCCGGAAGGAAGCAGCCGCAGUAAGUUUCGCUCGGGUUGUGGCGGGUCUCUCAAUUUU